rnacentral:rRNA from 1 species
GACGAACGCUGGCGGCGUGCUUAACACAUGCAAGUCGAACGGAAAGGCCCUGCUUUUGUGGGGUGCUCGAGUGGCGAACGGGUGAGUAACACGUGAGUAACCUGCCCUUGACUUUGGGAUAACUUCAGGAAACUGGGGCUAAUACCGGAUAGGAGCUCCUGCUGCAUGGUGGGGGCUGGAAAGUUUCGGCGGUUGGGGAUGGACUCGCGGCUUAUCAGCUUGUUGGUGGGGUAGUGGCAUACCAAGGCUUUGACGGGUAGCCGGCCUGAGAGGGUAACCGGACAAGUUGGAAUGGGGCUGAGGCACGGACUAGAACCGGAGGCAGCGGAGCAGAAGAGUGUACAGUGGGAGGAGGGCAAAUGCGGCACAGCCACGUGGGGGGUAAGAGCAAUCGGGUAGUAAUGCGCUAUCGUCUGUGACGAGACGUGAAUGACGGUAAUGGGUAAAGAAGCACCGGCUAACUACGUG